rnacentral:rRNA from 1 species
CCGGCGACCGGCGCACGGUGAGUAACGCGUAUGCAACCUGCCCGUUUCAGCGGGAUAACCCGGAGAAAUCCGGCCUAAUACCGCAUGUGGCCGAGGGGAGGCAUCUUCUUUCGGCCAAAGGAGGCAACUCCGGAGACGGAUGGGCAUGCGUGACAUUAGCUUGUUGGCGGGGUAACGGCCCACCAAGGCGACGAUGUCUAGGGGUUCUGAGAGGAAGGUCCCCCACACUGGUACUGAGACACGGACCAGACUCCUACGGGAGGCAGCAG